GACGAACGCUGGCGGCGUGCUUAACACAUGCAAGUCGAACGGAAAGGCCCUGCUCUUGUGGGGUGCUCGAGUGGCGAACGGGUGAGUAACACGUGAGUAACCUGUCCUUGACUUUGGGAUAACUUCAGGAAACUGGGGCUAAUACCGGAUAGGAGCUUCUGAUGCAUGGUGGGGGUUGGAAAGUUUCGGCGGUUGGGGCUGGACUCGCGGCUUAUCAGCUUGUUGGUGGGGUAGUGGCUUACCAAGGUUUUGACGGGUAGUCGGCCUGAGAGGUGGACCAGCCACCUGGGUACUGAGGGACGGCGCAGACGCCUACGGGAGGCAGCAGGGGGAAAUAUGACACAGUGGGGGGGAGCCUGAGACGGCGGCGCCGCGUGCGUAAUGACGGCCUUCGGGUUGUAAACCUCUUUCGCCUGAGACGAAGCGUGAGUGACGGUAAUGAGUAAAGAAGCACCGGCUAACUACGUG
rnacentral:rRNA from 1 species